UCAUAUUCAGUGAAAAAGAUUAAAUAGUAAAUCUUUUAUAGAGACAUUAUGGCUGGUGGAAAUAAUGAUAGAAAUACUAUGGGACACUUUGGAGAAUGCUCUAAACAAGCACGUUAUCUCGCGUUAAGAGAAUAAAGUGUGUAUUGAAAAAUACAAACUAAGGUGGUACCGCGUGAAUGACGUCCUUAGA
rnacentral:ncRNA from 1 species